UUAUUUUUUAUGUUUUUAUAUGAUUUCAUAUUUAUAAUUUUUCAGUAAAGAUAGCCAAUUCAGUUGUAGGAGAAAGUAAGUUUGUGUUAAAGUGAUUUGAUAGUUGGAAAAGUUAGACCACUGCCCCACUGAACUUGUGGAACAGUAAGAGAAUUUAUAAAUACUAAAAUAAGAAAAAUAAACAAAAGAAAUUAUGUUGCAGAGAUAAUGAUUUUGAAUAAAGUAGCUAUAGGGCCUUAUUUCCUUGCCAAAUAAAACCAAAAAAAAUGAAUAGAGGUGGGAAGAAUAAUAGUAUGUCCUGGAUGCAUUUCAAUGAGAUGAUAUAGAAGACAAUUAAUAUGUGAUGCAACGCACUAAGUUGUUGAACCUCUACAUUAUUAAGUGUAUGGAAAGAAAAUCAGUAACAAGUGUUUGGAAAACUAGAGAAUUGAUUUUGGUCUGAAUUUUCUAAAAUAGGAAGUUAGGAAUUUGAGAGCUAAGAUAUUCGGCACAAGAUAUGAUGUCUGAAGAACUCAGAUGAAAAUUAGCCAAUCUAAUUUGGAUAAAACUAAAGAUGAAUGUGAUGGUCAGUGGUAUGGAGUUGGAGGUCCAGGAAAAUAAUUAACAAAAAGAUGUUCUGUCCUUCUCAUGAUUCUAUGGGGUUUCUCUACUCUUCACUAUAACAUCACAAUGGCUUGUUCUUGCUUCAAGUAUGCCUAUUUUUUAUUUGAAUCAGCUCCUUCAAUCUCACUGGCCUUGAAGUCUGCAAAUUAGAUCCCUUUUUCCAAACACUAAGCCAUAUUUUCCCUACCAUUCAAGAUACACUUGGAAUCGAUCUACUCCAGGAAGUCUCUCCAAACCACGUAUGGGAAAUAUGAUAUCUUAUAUGGAGGAAAACAAUGGCAUGGAUAAUUCAUACAAAUGUUCUCAUUCCAUGGGUUAAGUAUUGCCAUAAGAUAAACCAAUAUCCUUGGGUCUGGUUUGCUUUACCAUCACUUUCCCACCUCAGCUUCCACAUACCUCUGCUUCAGACCAUAUAAUCCUUAUUGCGCCAGUUUGUAUCCUUUUUUCUGAGCAUUCUGGCCUCUGCCUCUCUUGUUUGCUGUUUACCUAGGAGUCUACUUUUUAAAAUCCAGCGAAAGCAAUAUUAAUAUUCACAAGCAGGUGGCAAGUAAAAAGAAUUGAUUGGGGCCAGGAAGUCUUUACUUCCUAGAAGAGGUUUCAUCUUACUAUCUGAUUCAAAGAGAUGUAAUGGAGUUGAAAGAGAGCAUGAGCUUUGACAUACACAGAGCAAGGAGGUCCCAAGAGUUAUUUGCUUUGUUAAUAUUACUUAAGCUGUUUAAUCUUUCCAGCCUCAGUUUCCUCAUCUAGAGUGAUAUCAAGGAUAACUAUAUGGCACAGCUAUUUUAUUUAUUCAUGUAUUUAUCAAUUAAUUUGGGAAUGGAAAUAGCAUGUGUCAUUUAAAUAUUGAAAACAAGAUAUAAAAAUACAAAUGAUUUCUUGUCUUCAAGAGAUAUGUAAUAGAUAUGUAAUGGGAAAUAAAAAAAUCAGAUGUUAGAGUAUUUUAAAGUGGUAUGUUGGCAGUAAGUGCAGGAACAUUGGAGUCGGAAAAAGGGAAAUUACACAUUUUACUUUGGGGGAUAGAGAAAUCAUUCAGGAAAAUCAAGCAGUAUUAAGCAUUGACACUUGAGCUACAGUGGAGGAAGGAUGUAAUUAUUUUAGAUAUUUCUUAAUAUAUUCAUUCACUCAUUUCUUUAUUCCUUCAGCAAAUAUUUAUUGUGUGCCCAGUACAUGGUAGUGAAAGUAGGGAUGAAUACAAAAGAGAUGGUUGUUUCUAAGACAUGCGUAUUUCUUCUGUUAUCACAGUGCUUAUAGUCAAUGUGAAAGAGAGGCAGCUAUGUUAAGAGAAGUGCUCUUAAUAGAUCUCCAUUUAACUGACUUGGCAAAUUAACCAAUAUUAUCAAUUUCCUUUGCAAAACACUCUGAUUAAUAUUCAGGGCUCAGUGAAAGCUCACAGCCAGUAGAUGACGCUCCAGUAAGCCUACACAUUUUUCUCAUUGGUGCCGUUGCAUGCUUGCCAAGAAUUAGUUGUGUUUAUUCCCAAACCAUUGCCAGUUGACUUCGUAUUAUAACCAUGUAAUAAAAAUAACAUUGCUUCCAUAAUUCAAUGAAAUAGAGUAUAAAAUGAGAGAGUUGCUUCUUUGAAAAUUAACUUGAAUUUUUUGGAAAGACUCAAUAAAGGAGAAUUGCUAAAAACUUUCCUAUGAAAUUAGGUGGAGGAAAUACAAUGAGCAAAGACUCAGAAAAAAAAAACACUUAAUAAUCCAGAAAGUUCAUAUUUAGAUUGGCUUGCAAAUGUGUUUUUUUAGUUUAAAGAUAGUGAAAUUAGAAAUUAUGGAUGGUACACUAUAGUAAAGAAAGAUUGUAUGGAUCUUCAGUCAAUGGACCUGUUUCCAAAUUAAAGGCUAUAUCCUUAAAUUAAAAAAUAGGGGAAUGAAUGUAUAACUGUAUUAUAUUAAAAUAAAUGUUUAAGAAAUGUAAAUAUCUUAUGCUUCUUAGAUUUGAGUCUAUUUUAAUAUUAGCAAUCAUAUGAGAUAAGAGGGCUUCUAGUAAAGAAAUAUAUGUUAUGGUAUGGAAAGUAUUAAGACCUUGGAAAUCUACAGUGGAGUAUACGAUCAAUCCUAGAGAAUAGGAACUCUGAAAUAGAUUGAGCCAGGCAUAGAAAAAGGGGUAGGGACAAGAGAGCAUUCAAUGUGAGCAAAACAGAGACAAAAAGAGACACAAGAGGCCAGGCGCGGUGGCUCACGCUGUAAUCCCAGCACUUUGGGAGGCCGAGGCGGGCAGAUCACGAGGUCAGGAAAUCGAGACCAUCCUGGCUAACACGGUGAAGCCUCGACUCUACUAAAAAUACAAAAAAAUUAGCCGGGCGUCGUGGCUCAUGCCUGUAGCCCCAGCUACUCGGGAGGCUGAAGCAGGAGAAUGGCGUGAACCUGGGAGGCGGAGCUUGCAGUGAGCCGAGAUUGCGCCACUGCACUCCAGCCUGGGCAACAGAGCAAGACGCCAUCUCAAAAAGAAAAAAAAAAAAAAGAGAGAGACACAAGAGGUCCAGAUACAAGCUGGACCAUAUAGUGUGAAAGUACACAUGGUACAUCAUCUGGGCUGGUAGUGGGGGCCAGAACUAGAUCUUAGAAAGCCUUAAAAGUGAUAAUCAAAGUUCAAGAUAAUUGAACUUUAUCUUGAAGGGUUUUAAGUUAGGGGGUUAAAUUAUCAGAUUUGAAGAAAAAUAGAUGAGCCUAGAGCAGGAUGGGUUCAUGUGGGACAACAUUGGAGCCAAGUGAUUAAUUAAUUUAGGUAAGAGAUGAUGGCAGUCUGGGGUAAGAUGGCUGCAAUGGAUUGUCAUUAUGUGAUGAAUUUUAGAGAUAUUUGUGAGAUAUAAUCAACAAGAUAUGGUAACUAGUUGUAGGGGUCAAAAAUAGUGGGAGAGGUCAAAUAUAUCUCCUCAAUUCUCACUGAAGAAAUUGGGUGAGUGGUGUCAUUUAUACAGGUGUGCAACUUUAAUGAAAAAGAGGUUGACUAGGGAGGGUUGGAGGAUGAGGAAUUCCCUUCUGAAAACACUAUGUUUAUAUCAUGCACAAGACCCUUAAGUUGGAAAGUCUUAUGAGCAAUUGUAUAUAUAGGGUUCAGGAAAGAGGUAAGCUUAGAAAUAGAGGAUUAUUUGGCACUUGCACAUAGAUAGUAAUUGGAACCGUAAAGAGUAGUGUGGAUUUCCCAAAGAGAGUUUGUAGAACGUAAAGAGAAUUGAAGAAAAGAAAACUGCUCAGGAAAGAGUCCUGGGGGCAGAAUAUUGAACUAUAAAUAGAAGAAAAAUCGCCAGAAAAGGAGAUUAAUAAAGGAGAAGCCAAAGAAUUAGGAGGAAAGGAAGUGCUCAACGUGUUCAUUGCUACUAAGUGAAAAAUGCCCAAUGGAUUUAGGAGUAUAUAGGUCGUGGGUGCCCAUAUUUGAGGGUACAUUCAGGGGAGGGUCUGGAGCUUAAGGCAGACUCUUGUGGAGUGAGGAGAGACAGGAAAGGGAGAAAUGGGAGGUGGAAAAUACCAUUAUUUUGUUGUUUCAAGAGACGUAUGUCUGGUGGAGUAUAUAAAAAGGAAAGCCUGAAAAAGCUGAAAAGGAUAGGUCUAAAAGAUCUUGAACGCCAAGCUAAUGGGAGUUGUAUUUUGUCUCAUAGAAAAUUCAGGGCACAGGGUAAAGUCUAUAUAAUAGAAACCACUUACUAUGACAAUAGUGUAGGGAAUGGAAUUAGUGUGGGGUGAGAGGGUUAGUAAAGGAAGUUAGCUAAGGCAAAGCUCGCUCACCCAUGGUAUACUGGCACACAGGUAUGCUGCAAGCAGUUUGCUACUAGAAAUGCAGUACUCACAUUUGCACAAGACAAAAAAACUGGAGUGGAUUCAAGUUUCCCUCUUUGCUAAUUCUACUCUUACUUUUUUCCCCAGUAUAUUUUAGUAUAUUUCCUAUUGGAAUGAGAAACAAGGGGGUGGAGUUAUAGCCUAAACUUCUAGAAUUGUACUUAACAUGGAGUAUGCCUGACGGAGCAUCAUGCAUGUGAACUUCAUCCAUUCUGUAUGUUGACAUCAGGAAUAAAAAAGAGGUUGAGAACCACUGAAUUAGAGAAAAUUGCAACCCUUAAAGCAGAGAUGACAAGAUCUUAAUUAGGCAUUAUCAGCAGGGAAAGUAAAGAGAGAAAGAUUAUUGGAGUGAGGUUACAGAGUUAGAAACAAUAGGACUCAGAAGCUGAUUGGAUGUGAGAGGUGAAACAUCACUGCCAAAAUAGCAAUACUCUUUAUUGAAUGCUUUUAAUAUGUCAAGCACUCCCAAAAGAACAUACACAGUAUAACAUACAUCAUCCCAUUUCAAUUUCCCAACAGUGUUGCAAAGUAGGUAUUUUUAUUCUGAUUUUAUAGAUAACAAAAAUAAAGUUUAGAGAGUUUGAGCAACUUUCUCAAGGCCAUCCAGAUUUUAAGUGGCAUACCUUGGGUUCAAACCCAGGGUUGUUAGAUUCAAAACCUUUGUUAUCAUCAUUACUCAAAUCUAAAAUGACUCUCUUAUUAGGUGUCUGGCUGUAUGAUGGUAAAAUCAAAUUCAGAUGAUAAAUCCAGAUGAAGAUCAGGUGUAGGAGAAAAGUGGCCAGUUCAAUUUUAAACAUAUUCGGUUUUUGAAAGCCUGGAGAAUAUCCCUGGUGAAGACGUCUAAUAGACAGUUACAUAUAUAAGUCUAGAGUUAACGGAGAUGUCUGGAAGGGGAUAAAGAUUUAUGAGGCAUUAGCAUUUAAAUUGUGGUGAAAGUCAUGGGAAUGGAUGAGAUUUCCCAGGGAGAUUGCAACAUGAGGCGAGGAUAAAGUGGAGAGCGAAGAAACACCAAAAUGUAAAAGGAGGUCAGAGGGAAGUAUCAGCGAGGGAGUCAGGGGAGGAAUGUUAAUACAAGUUAGAGGGAAGUAGCCAAGGGCGAUAUCACACUGAAGCAGUAAAGAACAGCAAGAGAAAGGAGUGAUCAGUCAUCCCAUGCUAUGGAGUGGUCAUGAAAGAUGAAGACUGAAAAAAUUUCAGUAGAUUCAGAGAAUUGUGAGUGAGAAAUACAAGUUGAAACAGUGUGAGAUUUAAUUUUAAUAAUGCACAGUAUCAUCUAAGGUCUGUCAAUCUAAGGUGCAUUUUCAUUCUAAGUGUUUUUCUAAGGAAACAAUAAGAAAUUAAGACAUUCAUUGCAGCAUUGUUUCUGAUAGCAACCAUAUCACAGUAGUUAAGGGCACCUACUCUAGAGCCAGCCUGAGUUGAAACCUCAGUUCUGCUACUUAUUAGCUCUGUGAACUUGGGCAAGUUACUUUUCUGUGCCUUAGUUCCUUUAUCUGUAAAAUAGGGACAGUAAGAGGAUUACUACUAUUAAUAAGGUUGUUGCAGCCUGGUUGGUUUUUUAUUGUUACAUAAUAAAAAAUCAGGGCAAUUGGGGUAGCCAUCACCUCAAACGCUAAUUAUUUCUUUGUGUUUGGAACAUUCCAAAUCUUCUCUUCUAGCUAUUUUGAAAUAUACAAUAAAUUAUUGUUAAUUAUAUAUAGCCUAUUGUGCUAUCAAACACUAGAACUUAAUGCUUCUAUCUAACUGUAUCUUUGUACCCAUUAACCAACCUCUCUUCAUCCCCCACUCAGUUGUUCCCAGCCUCUAGGAACUAUGAAUCUACUCUCUACCUCCCUGAGAUAAACCUUCUUAGCUCCCACAUAUGAGUGAAAACAUGCAAUAUUUGUCUUUCUGUGCCUGGCUUAUUUCACUUAACAUAAUGACUUCCAGUACCAUCCAUGUUGCUUCAAAUGAUAUGACAUUUUUACAGCCAAAUAGUAUUUCAUUGUGUCUAUAUAAAACAUAUUUUGUUUAUUCAUUCAUCUAUUGAUAGACACUAAGUUUGGUGCCAUAUAUUGGCUAUUGUGAAUAGUGCCACAAUAAACAUGGAGGUGCAGCUAUUUCUCUGAUAUACUGAUUUCCUUUCUUUUGGAGAAUACCCAGUAGUGGAGUUUCUGGAUUGUAUGGCAGUUCUAUUUUUAGUUUUCUUAAGGAACCUCCAUACUAUUCUUCAUAAUGGCUGUACUAAUUGACAUUCCGACCAACAGUGUUCAAGAGCUUCCUUUUCUGCACAUCCCCACCAGCAUUUGUUGUGCAAUCUGUUAGCCUACAAUACUUAUUUGUCCUGAUUGGUUUUUACAGUAAUUAAAUGUGUAAAUACCAUAAAGUGUUCAUUACAGUGCCUAGAACCUAGUAAGAGUGAAUUCUUUGUUAAAUGAAUAGAGAUAAAAGUAAUCAAAAUGCUCAAUGGUGAGGUUGAUUAAAAUAAAUUACAUAUCCAUGCACUGGGAUAUAAUGCAACUGUGAAAAAUUAUGUAGUUAACUAUUUAACAAUAUGGAAAGAUACCAAUGGACUAUUAAUUAGAAAAAAGUUAUAAAUCAUAUGAGUAGAAUGAUUCCAUAUGUGAAUAAACAAUAUGUACCUAUGUGUUAGAUAUGUAUGAUGAUUUUUAGAAAGAGUUGUACCAAGAUGCUUAUAUGUAUAGACGGUUGGAUUAUGAGUUUUUUAAUUUUAAAUUUUUACACAUUUAAAAAUUACAUAGAAAAGAUUAUUUUUAUGAUAAACAUUUUUUAACAUCCUGGAGGUCAGGAUAUUGAAUAGCAAGUGAUAAUUAUUCUUUGGCAAAACUUUUCUGUGGAAGAAAGUGGACUGAAAGCAUAGGAGCUACAGCAUAUUUAUAACCAAUGGAGUAGCACACUGUGUAAAAUGCUGUGCAGAGUCCUGCUACCUGGGAGGCUUCUAAUAAACGGGGGUUGCUAUUAUUAUUAUUAUUACCACUAAAAUGCCUUCAGGUCUCGUAGACUUUCAGCACCAGCACAACUCUACUGAGUAGCCAAGGAGCGGGAAAUAAGAGAAGAAACUUUAAAAAAGGAGAGCGUUCUAGAAAGAGAAUUCUUCUUGAGAACAUUCUGGACAGUGCUCCUGGACAGUGUGCUGGUGCUGAAAGUCUAUGAGAACUGAAGACAUUUUAAUGACAAUAAUAAUAAUAGCAACCCUCGUUUAUCAGAAGCUUCCCAGGUAGCAGGACUCUGUACAGCAUUUGACAUGUCCUGCUUCUCGAUUGGUUAUAAAUGAGCUGUAGCUUCUAUGCUUUCAGUCCAUUUCCUUUCACAGACAAGUUUUACCAAAGAAUAAUUAUCACUUGCUAUUUCUAUAUCCUCACCUUUAGGAUGUUAAAAAAAAUUAUCAUAAAAACAAUCUUUUCUAUAUAUAUGUGUGUGUGUGUGUGUGUGUGUGUGUGUGUGUGUGUGUAUGUGUAUAUAUAUAUAUUUUUUAAAUGUGUGAAAGUUUUAAAGUAAAAUUUAAAAAAAACUCAUAAUCCAGCUGGCUGUGGUGGCUCAUGCCUGUAAUCCCAGCACUUCAGGAGGCUGAGGUGAGUGGAUCACUUGAGGUCAGGAGUUUGAGACCAGCCUGGCCAACAUGGCAAAAACCCAUCUCAACUAAAAAUACAGAAAUUAGCCGGGCAUGGUGGCGGGGGCCUGUAAUCCCAGCUACUCAGGAGGCUGAGGCUGAGGAGAAUCACUUGAACCCAGGAGGCGGAGGUUGCAAUGAGCCUAGAUCAUGCCACUGCACUCCAGACUGGGCAAUAGAGUGAGAGUCUGUCUCAAAAAAAAAAAAAAAAAGAAAAAAAAUCCCCUCAUAAUCCAACCAUUUACAUAUAAGCAUAUUGGUAUGUAUCUUUCUAAAAAUUAUCAUACAUAUCUAAUACAUAGGUACAUAUUGUUUAUUCACAUAUGGAAUCAUUCUACUCAUAUGAUUUAUAACUUUUUUCUAAUUAAUAAUCUGUCAUUGUCUUUCCAUGUUAUUAAAUAGUUAACUACAUAAUUUUCACAGUUGCAUAGUAUCCCAGUGCAUGGAUAUAUAAUUUAUUUUAAUCAAUCUCACCAAUGAGCAUUUUGAUUAUUCUUAUCUGUAUUCAUUUAACAAACACUCAAUUCACUCUUCCUAUGUGCCAGGCACUGUAAUGAACACAUUCUAGACAUUGCUCCUGGAGGUCAGGCCAGGUCCAGAGCUAAUUAUAUAUAGGGACUGCCUCAGGACCACAGAGAAGAUAAGACUCAAGGUACCAGACAAUCUAUACAGUGGCCAAGAUAAUAAGAAAAAAUAUAUUGUUUCAAGAUGCUUUCUUCCCACCUGUUAUUUUUACAAAUUUGUUUUGGUAUCUAAUCAUUUGGGCUAAAAAUGCCCUGGUUUAUUUCUCAUAGAGGCUAUAAACCCCUAAAGGUUUAUGAACUAUAUUAAUCCUAUAAUGCUUCCUCCUCUGCUAAUCAUCUUGUGUAUUCAACAAACUCUACUUGAACAACUAAGGUCAUGAGCAACAUAAACCUACCAUGAUUAAGAAUCAUUUCAAAUAGCUACAAAUAAUUUUAUAGGCUUAUUUUUUUAAAAAGAUAACCCGUUUCAUUUUGAAAUUCUGAUUUCUUGGUUCUAUUAUGGACUAAAAUUCUAAGGGUAAAAGCAAAUAAAAUCCCAGGGAAACCUGCUGUUUUUACAGUCAUGGCCAUAAUCAGAACAAAUUUUGGUGAACUUAGGACUUUACAAAUUUUAAUAAUUAUAUUGUAAAACAUAAUUCUAAAUCAGUUGUAUCAUCAAAUCAGAGCAGUAAGAAAGUGGAAGCUGCUAUAAUUGUAAUGUAUUUUUAAAAACUUGAAAUGAAAACACAACUUUAAAAAGCAAGUCAGAGUAUAUCGUGCAUAUGCUUCAGAAUAAAGAUAAACACACCAUUUAAAGAGCUGCUUAAAUUAAAAUGUCAUUUCUUUCAAGUUCUCUGUUAAUAGCCCAUCCAGUUAGCUAUUGUCCUGAAAUUUUAGACUUAGGCAAUUAGCCUGUUCAGGUCACCUAAACUUUCUAGAUAUUUAAGUCUCCAUAUUUGAAAGAAACACAGCCAUGUUAUCUAAAUAGACAAGUCUAGCAAUUUCAAAGUUCAGGUAGACAUAGAACAUAGAAGAGGGAAUUAUCACUACAUUAGUGGUUUGCCACUACUCCAUAACUCAGCCCCUGACUUCCCUGUCCCCUUCCUUCAGCCCCGACACCCCUCCACCCCAUCCUAGUCUAUAGACAAACAAGCUCUCCAAUCUAAUUCUUAUCAAGAUAGAAACAAGGCCAGACCUGCUCUUCUAGAUAAAAUGCCUUGGCUUCUAACUGCCUGGCUGCUUAUCUUUCAUCUUGCAGUGUUAACCAUAACCCCUUUCCUGACCUGCUCUACUUCUUGUUUUCAGAUGAGCAGUAAGGACUGGGGGAAAAACAUGCUUAAAUGAACAAGUUCACUCUCUCACAUCCCUCUCCAUUCCCUUUAAAGUCAAUUCAAAAUAUCUUUCCAAAAUUAUCAGAAAUCACAUUGUGUGCAUUACAUGUAACUCGGUAUAUUUCUAAAUCUCUCUUUUCCAACUUUUACUCUUUCUACGCUAUACUGCCACAUAUAUCUUUUCCUAAAAAUUAAAAAUGUUAUGUUUUUUUUUUUUGGUUGUGGGAUUAGGUUUUCUGAGGAAUGGUAGGUUUUGUAAGGGUUUUUUUUUUUCCCCUCCUUUUAUUUUUUCUCAUUUGUUUGCCUAGAUCUGAAUAAGCUGAAUCAUCUUCUCACCUAAGCUGUUUGGUUUGGAUACCCGAAUUUUUUUGCUUUCAUCCAAACAAAGUAUUGCACUUGUCUUUCCUGAGCAGGUGAAAGUUAAUGCAAUAUAGACCUUGAGCAGUCAGGCAAUGUAACUGCUAUGUUUGGACUAGCUUGCUGUGUGAGGUUAGCCUUCCUUGACCCUUGUUCCUUAUACAUGAAGUGGGAAAAAGAAAAAUAAGCUAGGUUCCUUCUGUAUGUGAGAAUCCUAGGAAACUCUAUUGUCCUAUAUUUUGAAGCAGCUAUUAAGUUGAAUGGUGUGAGAUUACACAGGGUGCUUGCUGGUGUUGUAAACACCACGAUCUGGUUUAUGACACCUUUAUCCCACAAACACUCUUGCACUUGAACCUGCAUGUCCUUGAAAAUAUGGGAGUCUUUUCAAAAGAGUUUGAGCUUCUUGUAAGAAAACCAUUCUACUAAUAUAAGGUGUAACUUUUACUUUUUAGCAUUUAAAACUAAGUCUACAUUACACAUCAGAAAAUGAUCUGAUAGAUACCCUGUUUUGAUUCGGGUCUUCCAUUUUAUUUUCUUAGCCUAAAAAAGAUCGAAUCCAGAAUUAUACGGCUUCUUUUCAUUUUUCAUUUUCUUCUUGCAAAUUAGAUUUCUAAUUGACCCUUAGAGACCAAUUGCUUAACUGUCAAAAUAUUAUCAAUAUUGGGAAAAUAGUGUCACUGAAUUUAAUUUAUAAAUACAUAUGACAUGCUUAACUGUGUAUGAGGGAUUUCCUUAGAUACUAAUGGGUGAAAAAUAAAUACCUGCCUUUAAAGAAAUGAGUUCUUUGCCAGAAUAAUGAACUGUGUAAUAUUUUACCGUUAACAUUGACAUUCUCAUAAUAUUAAUGAUUCCAUUUUAAGGAUACUACAUUCUCAAAAAGCAGAACAUACAUUUCUUAGUUUUAUGUCACCCAGUGUCCAUAAACAAGGUUCUAAAGUUUAUUUUAUUAUCAAAACAAUUGAUCUUCAAAUAUUACUUUCCUUAAAGGAGAUUUAUAUUUAAAAGCAAAUAUGAUGUUUCAUUUCUUAUCUUUUCUCCAAAAGAUCAUAGGCAAGUAAAUCUUUAAAGCUUGUUUCGUUUGUGAUAAAUGCAUCUUUCCCGUGACUCUGUUAGGGCUGGGAACUCACAGGGGUAAUUGAACUUGUUGCACUUGUAGUUGAAGGAGGGGGAUUUCUAAUAAUCUGUCAUUUCUGAAAAUUCUUAGUUGCCUAUGGUCACAGGAAUUUGUCCCCAUUUUUAUAGGACACUAUUAAAACUGGUCUACUUGUGUUAGAGACAUGGAGGGAAUUCAUUUUCACUGGAUCUUGUCUUGGUUAGGUAUUUAGGUACUGUUUGUUUGGUUUGUUAGGUUUGUCUUUAACCUAUAGUAGAUCCUUAUAUGACUAUAAAGCAAGGGUUAGGUUUAAAUAAAUAAAAUUAUUCAGUGUCAAAUGAUGGAGUAUCUUUCAAGUUCAGUGAAAAUGUGGAAAGUACAGUUUAAAUUACAGCAGUGGGAUUGGGAAACAAAUUAUAUGAUAGUACAUAGAUUUUAUAGCCUUUCUAAAAAGGCUUUAAAUAAAUGUUAUUUAAAAUUCUCUUCUACUUAGAAAAUGUUAAAACUAGUCAGAUUAAUGUGCAAAUGAGAGUGAAAGAAAAAAUCACAGACUAGAGCAAAUUACAAAGAGGGAGGGAGGAGUAAACCUAACUAGAAUGGAAAACUUUCGGGCUGACUUGAGCAUAAUUUGCUUUAGGAAGAUAAAUCUAAGGAUUGCCUUGGGUCUGGGAAAGGAAAGUCAGGAAGUGUCUGGAAGUAGGAAGGCCAAUUGGGCUUUCAGUCAGCCAUUCACACAUGAGAAAAUGGUAGUACGAAUUUAGUAACAGUGACAAUGGGAGAAUGGAGAAAACAUACAUGAAACAUGUUUUGAAUGAAAAAUAAAAGGCCAGGAUAUAGUGAUGUAUUGGAUCAGAAAAAGAAAGAAAGAGCUAAAUCAAAGAUGAGGUUUCAAGUCUGGGCGACAGAAAAACGGUGGUGGGGCUGACAUCAUGAAGUUAGGAGGGAAAGUUGAUGGGAAGUGUCAGAAGAGAAUUAUAUAAAAGUUCAGGGGUUGAAGAAAUGAGAUUUCUGAUAGCUGUCUGUAAAUUAGUGGAGCCACAGGCCUGGAACUCAAAGGAGAAGCUGGGGCUAGCAGUUCUGCUUUUUUUUUUUUUUUACAGCCUUUAUCAUAAAAUUGUUUAUGAAAAUUGUAGGAGUUUCCAGAGUUCACUAAGGCCAGUCAUGUUUAUAGAGAAAAGCUCAAGUCAACAAUAGUACCUACAGUAAUAACCACAGUUGGGGGAUUUAUAAAGGAAGGGAAAGGAAAGGAAAGUUGGAGGGCUACCACAGCUUAAUUUCAAGACUUAUUGGAAAGCUACAGUCAUGAAGACAGCAUGAUAUCGGUGUAAUAUCACCUAUAUUACACCUAUAUUGCAACUGAUUUUUGACAGAGUUGCAAGGGCAAUUCAAUGGAGAAAGGACAGUCUUUUCAACAAAGGAUGCUGGAAUAAUUGGAUAUACAUAUGUCAUAAAAUGAAUGCUGAUUCAUAUCUCAUACCAUGUAUAAAAAUUAACUAUUAAUGGUUCACAGACCUAACUACAAAACCUAAAACUAAAAUUUCUAAAAGGAAACAUAAUUUUUUACUCUUGAAUUAGGUAGAAAUUUCUUAGAUAUAACACCAAGAACAUGAUCAAAGAAGAAAAUAAGUAAGAUUUCAUCAAAAUUAAAAACAUUUUUCUGAAAGAUAUUGUUAAGAAGAAAGUCAAAAACUGGAAGAAAAAUAUUUGAAAAUCAUAUUUCUGAUAAAGGGACUUGCCUCCAGAAUAAAUAAAGUACUUUCAAACUCAGUGUAAGAAAACAAAUAAUCCAAUUAAAAAAAAACUGGCAAAAACUUUGAAGACACUUUGCCAGGGAAGUAAUAUACAUGACAAAUUAACACAUGAAAAGAUGGUCAACAUCACGAGUUAUUAGAGAAAUACAAAUUAAAACCACAGUGAGAUAUCACUACACAUAUAUUAGAAUGGCUAAACUUAAAAUACUGACCAUACAAAGCAUUAGUAAGGAUAUGAAGAAACUGAAACUCUCAUACAUUUGCUGGUGGGAAUGUAAAAUGUACACCACUUUGGAAAUGUUUGUCAAUUUUUUAAAAGAUAUACUACCAUAUGAUCUAUGCAUUCCACCCAAUAGAAAUGAAAGCAUUUGUUCAAUAGAAAAUUUGCACACAAAUGUUCAUAGAAACUUUAUAUGCAAUAACCCUAAACUGGAAAUAACAUAAAUUUCCAUUAAGAGGUAGACAGAAUUGAAAGCCUGGACAAAUUGUAUAGGAUAUAAUGAAUUCAAAUUCAGCAAUAAAAGGAAGAAACUAUUGAUACAGGAAAUAGCAUGAUGAAUCCCCAAAUUAUUAUGCUGAGUGAAAAAACCGAGACCAAAGAAGAGUGAAUACUGUGUCACUUCAUUUACAAAACUUCUAGAAAAUGAAAACUAAUCUAUAGUGACAAACCAGAUUAAUGAUUGCUUAGGGAUGAAAGCAGGGGAUUGGGGAGAGGGAGGAGAGAGUGAUUACAAGGAGUCAUGAGGAAACCUUUGGGGGUGAUGGAUAUGUUCCCUAUCUUGACUGUAGUCAUGGUUUCAUGGGUGUGUAAAUAUAUCAAAACACCAAAUUGUAUACUUUAAGUACAUUCGAUUUAUUAUAUGUUAACUACUUCUCAAUAAAUCUGUUAAAAAAUUAAACACAUUAAACCACCCCUCAAGAGAAUCCCUAAAAUAAAAAUUUAAAGAGGGGGAAAAAAGGAAGGGAAGCUACUGAAAGUUGUAAGAAGAGACAAAAAGUUACCAAUAAUGAAGCCAGUGUUUCAAGGAGUGUGCAGUUAAAAUAACAUGACACACAGAUAUCAAAACUGGCAACUGAGAGAAGUCCAAGGUCCUUGGCAAAGAGAAAGCCACUGACCAUCCGUGGAAGUGUAGUAGGGUGACAGCCAGAAUGUCAGAGGCUGAAGGGAAGCUAUGUGAAACAGAGAGGAUGGCAGUGAGCUUAGACCACUUGUUUAAGCAGCUCAGAAAUGAAAAUGAGAGAAGUAAGACAGUAGCUAGAGGGGACAGACAAGUAAACUAAAGCUUUUUGGUGAAGUUUGAAAGCAUAAAAAAAGUAAAAGAGGAAUGAAAAAGAAACUGAAGAUUCCAGAGAUGAAGGUAAAACAUGUAGGAACAAGAUUCUUGAGGAAUUGGAAGUGAUGGGAUCUAAGGCACAGGUGCCAGAGUGAGCCUUGGAAAGGAGAAAUCUGUAAUUGUUAACUCCUGACAGUCCUCCCAAAAGGAAGCCUUACAGAGCCCUUGCAUGGAUUAUUUUAAACACUGAGACAAAAAUAAUAAUAAUUUUUUUGACGGCAGACUUCAUGGAAAACCUGGAUAAUCCGACAUUCUGACAUUUCUUAAAACUGAUCUCUGACAAAAGAACACAUAUUAAUCAUCACGUCUAACCCCCCAAAUGUGAUUUUUCCCUGCUGUAAUCUGCUGACCACAGACCAUAGGUCUUUGUCCCAAGCCCAGUGCACAAUAGCACUUCUGCUUUGCUGAUUGCAGUUUCUUGCUGUUUCAGGAAGAUUACUCUGAGUCAGACAUUUCACAAGGAAAAGAGGGCAGGAGAAGAGUCAGGGAUAAGCUGUGGGUUUAUGUGUACAAGGUAAUGAGAGACAUCUCCAUGGAGAAACAAAACAACCAUAACUGGAAGGCACUGCUAAGGCUUACAAAAUAAUGAAAAGGGUAUGAAGUUUGGAAUUAGACUUGAUCUUAAGUCCAGCCUCCCCUUCCUACGUAUGCUAUGCCCAUUCAUCUCCUUGCUUCGUCCAUGCACUGGGUAUACUGUUUACCUCACAUGGUUGUUCAAAGAAUUAAAUAACCUCAUGGAUUUAAGUAUCUGUUAGAACAUAGGCAAGGAAUAUAGGGUAGCUAUACUUAUUAUUUUAAUGUGAAUAUAUAGAUGUUCUUCAUCCAUAAAAAUACCCCCAAGGUGUUGUAAUUCCAUGAUUGUGUACCGUGUAUGUUCAAUUAAUGCCUGUUAACAUUUCAGUGAUUAAUCUAGCAGUCGUUUUUGUACAACAUUGGCAAACUGACUAAAGGUCAGAUAACACAUCAGCACGCAAGGUUGAAGUGAAAAUGCAAACAAUUGGCCUUUCUCCACAUCAGCAUAUUGCUUUCUCUUUGGUGCCUACUGGGACUUAAUACCACCAUUCUCCCUUCUUGUCACCAGUGAAGGCCCACAAUGAUGGGUCAGUAACUGAGAGGGGCCCUGUGACCCUAGAAGAUGAAUCCUCAAGGAAGAAUCUCCAGUGGAAUCCCUGAAGUGCAGGAUAUUUUGUAAGGCCAUAAAAUAGGGCUGAUCUUCCAGAAUAUGAUUAUACUUUUACAUUUCUGAAUAUAAAUCCUUAUCAAGAAGUGAAAUAAAGUAACUCAACUAUUUUCUGAAAUCAAAGAGAACAUGUGUUUUAAGUAAAUUAAUCCUUUAAAAUGCAUACCCCGUAGUACCAUGAGUCAAAUUUAAUUAUAGUAUUAGGCCCACUGCUGAAUUAUUAUGGUUUUUCUGAUACAUUUAAACUGAGGCUUUUUAGACCAACUUGUAAUAUAUUUCAGGCAUCCUCUGUCUAGCAAUUUAAAGGAUCUAGAAUUUGUGGGUUAUAUAUGCUGUUCAUUUAUCAAGGCAAAACAGAAAUUUCUUGAUCAGUUCUUAGAAUGAAUGCAUAAACUCAGUAAUAAGAUCUAGUUAUCACGACUGGAAAUUCAAAUAUGUAGUAUGAACAACAUAUCCCGAUGACCCUAAUCAUUAGUGAUUUGAUGGUAGGUAGGUCAGCUUGUCUCAAGCUUUACACUACAAUCAAGAAUUAGUUCAAGUGCAAAAAUGGAAUGUGGUCUUAGUUAUCAGGAUACAUUUGCUAAAGAUAGCACACUUCUCGCCCAUCUGAUCCUCCUGGUGGCAGUUCACUGCAUACUGAGUCCUAUGACUUAAGAGCUAUAAAGGGUCUGGCAUGAGUUUUUUUCCUGCUUUAUAUCAUGGCUGGAAUUCGUUGAUAACCCAAUCCUUGGUUAUGGUUUGGCUCUAAGCACUACUAAAUUAAUUCAUAUAUUAAGUCUGAAGAAUCUGCACAGAUUUUUUUUUCAUUUCCUAGGUCUUUGGAGAGUAUAUGAUUAGGCAGAAUAUCAUUGAAGCAAAUAUUUUCUUUGAGUUAAAAGAGGGAGAAGCAUGUACCUGAGUCAAAACCUACAAAAACUGUCCAAACUUGAACUAAGCUAAUAAUGCUAAGUUAACAUUGUAAAGUUAAUAUUGUAAAGUUAAUUUGGCACAUGUUUAAUGAUACACAUUAUUGUGCUACAUGGUAAUUAGGCAUAAAUGGUAAGCAACUAAUAUAUAUGACUGAAAUUAGAAGUUUUACACAGCCAAACCAAGUUCAAAUUGAUCAUUUCUUCUUGCUUUGUUAAUUUUCCAUUUUCUAUAGACAGCAUUAGUGUUGACAGCUUCUCUGAUGCCUUGCCUUCGGAAGCUCAGCAGAAAAUUAUGGUACUGUUUUAAAAAUGUACUUGAAAUCACUCAUUCGUUACAGGUUUGUGCAGUUUAACCAACCCACGCUGACUGCUUACUUAGAAAGUUCUAAAGGGAUGCUGAAUUAAGUUGCUAUGGAAUGUAGAUCUAUGCUCCACUCUUCCCCAUGCUGCUCUGUAGCCUGAGUGGCUAAAAUAUUAAUAUAUGGACCACAUACCAUACAUAGAGUUUCCUCACUGUCUGACUUCCAAGCAGGCAGAGAAGGGAGUGCAGAGAGUGGGGGAUAUGCAUUCCUCAGGCUUCAUUCUUUUGGGGUCUCAAGAGGUUCUGCUCUAUCCAAGUACCCUUCCUGUCUGUGAGUUCCAGUAACUACCCUGUCCCCCAUUGCUCCUUCAGGCCUAAGGGCUAUGUAGAAACCUCCUUUCACACUGGUACCCUGCACUGGCCUGAAGUUUCCUUCUACUCAGCUUGUAAAAGGGACAUUCAACUUUUCUCACAGUUUUCUAAUGUGAAUAUGCUGUUUGCUUCCUGCUUGGACCCUGACUGAUUCAAAAGCGUUAUUUCCAACUUUCGGUUGAAGUCCAUCCUGCUUCUCUUUUUGACAGGCAACAAUUUUUCUUGGAAAGAACAUCAUGGUGAUAGAAUUUUAAUCUGAAUAUAAAUUCCAUAUCUGCAUUCCUUGGGCAGGUUGGCUCCAGUACGUUUCAAGUGCCAGCAACUGAAGGUGAACUCUGGUUGCUUCCAGGCCUCCCUUGCAUGAUUUGGGGUUAGAAUUGUCCAAAUACCAUGAGUAAUAUGGAAGUUCUCUGAAGGGUAAGUUCAUGCUCUGAUUUCACAUUUACUUUCUGAUAAUUCGACUGGAAACAUAACUGAGAGCCCUUGCUGUGGCAGCUUCCUGGAGAUGGGAGUGAUAUGCAGAGUCACUCUGCUUGGAACUUCAUCAGUUUAUUCCCAAAUCCUGGCAGAAUGAAUUCAACACUUGCUCCGUCAUUGCUGUUGCCAUUUCAUGCUUAAGAAAUAAGACCUAGUUCUUAAAUAGCCACUGUCAACCACUUCUUCGAUGCUUUCUAUUUCAAAUGCUAUGGCUAUGGAAUAUUCAAAUUAUGAAUAUCUAAAAUAUAAGUGAUGUACUAUGCUGUGCUUCUUUUCUGAAAUACACUUUUACAGUUUUGAGUUUAUAGUUCAUAAAUAUCCACUGAUAUUUCUGUACUUUCUGUCUCUUUUGAAGACAGCCUUUAGAUGAGGUUUUAUCCUAUGGGCUUUGGUGAUUAACAGCAAAACAAAUUAUGUUGUUAUAAUACUUAAUAUUUAUCAUAUCCUUUUGAAGAGAUGUUCAAAAUAUGUUAGACAUUUUCUCCUUUAUGUCAAAUGCUUUUAUAUACUACUACCACUGACUUAUUUUCAAAUGGUUUAUUCUCAUUAUUGAAAUACCUAAAUGGUCAUGUAAAAUUAAAAUAAUUUAUCUCAUAAAAUGAAAAUUAUGAAAAUAAAAAGGAUAAAGUCCACUUCUUUCAUUUAAUAUCUUUGGAUUCGUUUAAUAGAGUGCUUAAAUCAGGGGCUCUGGUAAAUUUUACCAUGGCUUUACGUUAUGUCAGUGGACAUUGUGUUUUAAUCCAAGACUAUGAAAAACUAAUUGUAGAUAAACAACAAUUGAAUAAAUUACUAAUUAGCAAAAAAGAUGCCAAAUUGAGAUCACCUAUUAGCAUGAUUUAGAGCUAAUUUUAUGCUUCUUUUUAGCUUUUCCUUGGCAAUAUCUUUUUUUUUUUUUUUUUGAGACAGUCUUGCUCUUGUCGCCCAGGCUGGAAUGCAGUGGCAUGAUCUCAGCUCACUGCAACCUUUGCCUCCCAGGUUCAAGCGAUCCUCCUGCCUCAGCCUCCUGAGUAGCUGGGAUUACAGGUACCCACCACCAUGCCUGGCUAAUUUUUGUAUUUUUAGUAGAGACAGGGUUUCACCAUGUUGGCCAGGCUGGUCUCGAACUCCUGACCUCAUGAUCUGCCUGCCUCAGCCUCCCAAAGUGAUGGAAUUAUAGGCAUGAGCCACCAGGCCUGGCCUGGAAAUAUCCAUAUAUUUUUAUAGUGCUUCUUAAAUCACUCUUUCUGUAUCUAUGAGCACAAAACACCAAAAUAAUAGUUAUAUUGAAGGUGUCUUAUUUCUACAAUUUCCAAGAUAGUGACAUCUGAGAUAAUCAUUUAACAAUUUAAAUGAACUUUAAAUAUACAGACCACAGAUCCAUUUUUCUUGAUUCAAUAAUAUUAAUGACAUUCCAAUACACAAAGUUCCUUAUUAAACAGCAGAAAACUUCCCAGAAGUCUUUCCCCUACUUUUGUGUGAUAUUAAAAAACUUUGGAAAGUGUUCUAUAAGAGUUAAGAUUUAUAUAUAUUAACAAUACAGCCAAGGUGCCCCUUUCUUUUUACUGCAGGUUUCUAGACCUUCAGCUCCUUAGAUAAAGUUUAUGAGAAUAUUAGAAUCUAAUAAUGAUUAGAUUCCACUUAAAAUUCGUUCUCAAUUUAUAACUAGAAGUAAUUAGAAGUCCCUAUCUUAAAUCAUUCUAGAGAUGUACAAAUAAUAUAAUAACAUUUCUAAGGACUUUCUGUUUCAAUAAGAAGAACAGUAUAGAUUAUGUCAUUUUCUUGACAAUUUGUAGUGGUAAAAACCACUUCACUGUGUCUAUUGUUUUUGGUUUUCUGCAGACAUGGCUAUAGAAAGGGUGAUUAGAAUGUACUUUUUAAAAAAAGUUCCUAACCCAAGAAAAAGCUAAAAAGAGCCUUCCAUGGGGAAUAAAGCACUAAAAUUAGUUGUCAAUCAUGCCAAUACCUGCUUACAAUUUGGUGUCUUUUCCACUAAGUUGCAGCUUCUUCAGUUGUUCUUAAUCAGCAUUGGUUUUUCAUUGCAGUACCUCUUGCAUCCAUUUCUCUAUUUUCAGUGUCCCCGAACUAGUCCUCAGGGACUCCAUAACCUAUUAGGUUUGACAUCAAGUAUAGGAUCCUAGGUAAGUCAUAUAGUGACAUAGAAGCUCUGUGAACCCGAGUUUCCUCAUAUGCAAGAUGCAAGAGUGAGGGGAAAAUGAAAUAUCUAAUAUGCCUCUGUCCUCUAAAAUUUCAUUAUACUGCAAUUUCAAUUCAGGCUCCUCUCACAUAGCAGAGCCCUGUCUUUGCUGAUCUUUCUGCCUCCAAUCUGAAUUCUGGCAUUUAAGAUUUAUUCUAGCAGUUUAAAUCACUUUUGACUUUGGGAAAUCUUUUUGUUAACUUCAUUUGCUGUUCAAAGUUAAAACUGUCACCUGACUUUUUCCAGAUAUUCCUGCCUGUUUUCCAAACUUGAGUAAAACCACUGUGAAAGCUGGAGUUAGUCUAAUACUUCUUGGCAGAACCUCAUGCAGACAUGGAGAACAACCACGGCUGUGCCCGGUUCUUCAGGUGGCUGCCAGUCCCCCCGUGCCUGCUCCCUGUCCCUGCCUGCCUUCCCGCUGAUGAUGACUGACGUUCUGGGACGGAGGAGCAGGUGUGUGGUGUCUGCCCUUGGCGUGUUGAAGCAUGACUUGAAAGAGGAAAUUUGAAUUUUUCUUAUUCUUAGAAGAGAGGAGAACCAGAGGGAUGACAGAUUCCCAUAGGAAAUGCACACACCUGUUUUUUUUUUUGUUUUUUUUUUUUUGGAUUUGGUGCUCUAGGCAGUUUCAGAAAACAAACCCCAGAGUGAAACCAUCAACAUGAGAAUGCCUUUGUGCCCUUCAAAAUUAUUCUCAAAAGCUAAAUAGCACUUUCUGACCAGGUGCAGGAGAAUUUUUUCCUCCAUUUUUCUAACUCAGAACUAAUUUUUAUUGCCUUUCUGGGCAAUAAAUCAUUUUUUAAAACCAUGUUUGGAUAAAAUUAUCUAGGAGAUAACAUCAACAAUUUUUAAACACUGAUAUUUUGGUUUAUAACCUUUAAAAACAAAAUCUAAAGUAUUUUGGACAACUAUAUAUUCAAAUAAGAUUUAGAUAUGAAUAUAUAAAUUGUGUUUGUGGAUGAUAAAUAUGUAGCCUACCCAGAAAUUAGCCUUAUUAAUUAAGAGAACUAUUAUCUGAUAUUUUUUCCCAGGUUAGGCCUAGGUACAGUUGUGUGCUGGUAAAUUUGUAACAAAAGGCUCUCCAGGGGAAGAAAAGCCCUGAUUUUCAGUGUUUGCCAAUUUCCACGGUAUUAAAAGUACUCACACCAAGGCCGGUUUUAAGCAGUGCUCCUGAAGUCCCUGAAGACAGAGUUGAAAAGCAUCGUGCACAGUUGACUCUUCUAAGCUAGUCCGAGCUGGCUCCAACACACUACUGCCUAUGUAAGUAUCUAUAAAUAAUACAACUUAGAGGGUUCAUAAGCAUAACAAUGGGAUAUAUUCAGAAUGAUUGAAUACUGACUCAGAAAGAAAACUAUACAAUUUUGCUAUACCAUAAACCAUAAAAGUGUAUCAUAGGAACUGUGACCAAGAAUGUAAUUGUUGACCUCAGAUGGUCCUGAUUCUUCCUUUUCUAGCUUCUGGGAACACUCUUUUUUGUGUCCUGUCCUGGUUAUGCUGAGAGUCUGCAUCUUGCUUCAGAGAAUUUACUAAAAUCACAGGAAGGUCUGAAUUCUCAUUUGUACAUUCGACACCAAGUAUAUGGAGGCUUUCCCAAUUGCUCUGUGUGAAGGACUUGAGUUUUCUUCCAGCAUCAGCUGAAAAUACCAAAUGCCUGUUUGUGUGGAAAUUUCCUGAGACUACAGCUCUUAACUCUCUGACCUGAGUAGUAUAUGUGUGAAUUUUCCAUCAGGUUGUAUUCUCUGCAUUUUUCUCUGCCGUAUGGUGGCAAAUGAUUGUCCUAAUGUAUAAGAUCCCCUUUCAGCCUCCUACCCCCAGCCUCAGUACUGCCCCUGAGCUCGGGAAGAGAACCCCUUGCCCUGGGCUCCUCCUACAUUUGAGAUUUGACUCUAGAUAUCUGUUGGCUAUGUCCCUUUCCACUAAGUCUGUGGACCCCACUUCUAAGACUAUUGUCUGGAUUCUGGAGAGUCCAGAAUUCUCUGCCUGAAAGGCUCUGAACCUAUUGGACCUGUAGUGGCCUCUUUGCCUUAUCCAUUCUCCAAAGGGUAGACUAUGCCAAAUCCCAAGAUUUUGAUUAAGAACAGCUAGCUUGUGUGUUUUUUUGUUUUUGUUUGGUGAGGGUGGUUGUGGAUGGUACUACACCUAAAGGCCACCAUGGAUGUUCACAUAGCACUCAUGCUUGUUGUGCAGACCAUAUGGAGCCAAUAGCAAGAAUGUUAAGGGAUCCAGCAAAAUCAGAAGGCCUGGGGGCAAUGGCUGGGUCUCCCCUACCUGUUGUCACAUUUCAGUGUGGACCUCUGAAGAUUGCAAGCAUCCUGAAUUUGAACCUUCCUUUGUAGUGAAGGAUGGAAUCUAUUUCAUUUAAGAGCUCGUUGGCUUAAUUUAAACUUUUAAAUAUUUAGACAGAUAGUAUAUGAACCUCCAUUUAUACUCUUGCACCAGACUCUGCAAAUAUUGGCCAGGCCUUCCCAAAACACAGUUUUUUUUUUCUUUUCUUUUUUUUUUUUUAGUGUCCUCUUUUCUCUUUCAAGUGUACAGUCUAGGUGAGUAAGGAUUAGGUUUUUAAGAGGGAAAAGUCCCAGAGAAAGUGUCAUAAGCAUGGGAAUGAGUCCACCAAAGACUAGGAAGCUGAUGAUCCAAUGUAAUUGCCAGAGAGAAUGUGGUGGAUCUAACCCUUGGAGCUGCUAAGAGGACAAACACUGAUGCCCAGACCAGCAGCAGGUCUGGCAAUGGCAACUGUCUGGUCUCAUGGACAGGAAUACAGACUGGGUUAAACCGAGAUCUACUUGUUUCUCCUAUUUCCUAACUCUCCCCUACAAGGCCAUCACUUUCCUCCUUGUGUGCUCAAGAAACCUAAUAAAUGUCCUGCAGGAAGAGUUACAGGUGCCUCAGAGUUCUGGACUCUCCUGCAAUUGCUGUGUCACCUUAAUCUUUUCUCUUUGACCAUGGUCAGUUUGUGAUUUGCUGAAGUGAACCAAUGAGCAUUUUAAACCCCAUUGGGUAGGAAGAGUCAUUUUCUGCUUGGACUCUGGACUGGAAACAAACCUUCCCAUUGUGCAGCACUAUGGUCCUUUCUGUGUGCUGUCAUUAAUCUUUUCUCAACUGCCCAGCUGCAGUGACUCUAGGACAUUACAACAUAAUUCCUUCCUACUCAAUAUCAUGUAGGCCACAUAUAUGAACAGACCAUUUCCUGACAUUUUUUUCAGAAAAAUCAGUAUCAGUGUGGGAAUUCAAUGACACUCUAGACUUGUGUCAUUUUUAUGUACUAAACAAAAUGGUACUAUAAAAAUUCAACAUAGUCUCAAGAAGGUCCCAGUUAGUGCACAUGUAAUAACAAUACUCAAGUUUCACUGGCAAUUCUUGCAGGAAGGAUAUUCUGGUAUCUUCUAAUUAGUAAAAAAAAAAAAAUACUAAGAUAAAUAUUUUUGUGAACUUAAUUGGGAAAAUAAAUGAAACUAUCAAUUAGCCAGGAUUUGGGGAGCAUCUGAGAACUAUGAGGUAUGCAGUAAACAUGUGACUGAACUGCCUUUGCAUGGAUGCUAUCAUAAAAUACAUUACCAAUUGGGUAGAGAUAAAUCUAACACACCAAAAGCAAGAGUAGAAAAUAAAAACAAAUCACCCUGCUGCUAUUCCAAGGACCAGAUUUUUUACCACAAUUAGUACUGACUCUCUGAGUGCUAUAGGCUAUUGAGACAAGGAAGAAAUCUAUGAAGGGGAGUUAGGGAAAGCUUCCUGGAAAAAAAAAAAAAAAGGCUUGAGCUGUGCUUUAGGAAGAUGUGCAGUGGAAGGAGGAGAUUUCCAUGGGAUGGGGACAUUAUAAAUAUUUAUAUGCCACAGUCAAAUACCUUGACUAUGCCACAAGGUAACUAGAUUUUUGGGCAGACAUUAUUCUGGGUAUGCCUAUGAGGAUGUUUGGAAGAGAUUAACAUUGUGUAGAAGGAGUAAAACAGGUUGCCCUCCCUAAUGUAAGUGGGUCUCAUCCAAUCAGUUGAAGGUCUGAAUAGAACGGAAAUGCUGACUCUCCCCUAAGAGAGAAUUCUUUGUGUCUAGUGGCCUUUGAACUAGGACAUGGUGUUUUUUUCCUGCCUUCACACUCAAAUUGAAGCAUCAGUUCUUUCUUAGUCUUGAGCCUGCUGGCCUUUGGAAUGGACCACACCAUCAACUGUCCUGGUUGUCAGGCCUUUGGACUUGGGGUGGAACUAAACUAUCAGCUCUCCUGGGUCAACAGCUUGCCGACUCAUCCUGCAAAUCUUAGGACUUGCCAGCCUCCUUGAUUGCAUGACCAAUUCCUUAUAAUAAAUCUCUUCAUAUAUGUGUGA